GCUGGCAGGCAGAGCCGCAUGCCCCGGGAGACAUGAAAAGCCGCCCCCAGCCCAGAGGGAAGUUUGCAGCGCUGGAGUGCCCGAGUGUCGCCGGCAGAUGGCACUGUGGUCGUUUCCAAGAGGGAGCUGGGGCUCUGGAAACGCGACUCCAAAUGGCAGGAACAGCUGCGCCGCGAACCCUGCGGGGAGCGUCAGGAAACGUUAACCCCCGUUUGCCAUGGCGCCUGGCGUGCGCGGAGCCCUGCAGAGCAGUCGUUGGGUGAACACGUGAGAAGACCGAGGGCUUAUGAGCAGUUGAGCUGGCCCCGGGACCCCACUCUUGCAGCCCAGCCGUCCUCCAGAGCCCCAGGCCUCUCCCGAUGCUGGCUUUAACUGACAGGCUGGGGCUGAAGACAAGACAACGGUGGAUCCCAUUCCAGGUCACUCGAGACAGGGAAACGAAAGCCUGGAGUGAUUAAACAAGCAGCUGAGGUCACGCAGCUGGUGAAUGAAAGGAUGCACGCCUCAGUACAGUCUGCCUGAUGCCAAAUUCUGGGGUUUUUUCCUUGUGCCAAGAGGGUGUAACCUGGGAGGUGCCGGGAGCUUCCCACCCCGAUUUUGUGGGGCUGGUGCUUCUCUGCAGUGCUGCUGAGCACCCAGGGAGGAAGGCAAGACACCCGAAGACUGAAACUCAGCCUGGCCCUGAGCCAAUGAGCCAGGUGUGGUGCAUGGUGGAAGGAUUUGGUUGUAAGUAACAGAAACCUGAAUUAAAAGAAAAACAACAGUUAAGGAGUCAUGCCCCAGGAAAGUUCAAGGGAGAAGAACAUGGUCUUCAGGUACAGUUGGAUCCAGGCUUUCACUGACUAGUCAUCAGGAAUUUCUUUUUCUUUUCCUGGUUCUUUUCCUCUGAGUGGUUUUCAUUCUCUGGCAGACUCUCCCUGUGUGUUGGCAAGGAUGGCCUCCAACAGCUAUGGGCCUACAUUGUCCUUAACACGUUAACUGCCAUGAGAGUUCUAUUUAACUCACUCUAGUUUUAACCCU